CCUGCUGGGAGCCACCCAGGCAGCAGCCUGCUGGCUUCAGCUGUGGCGUGUUAGCCCUAGCUGCUCUGGGGAGGAUGGCAUAUGUGUGGGAAGAGAAUGAGGUGGAGCUGACUGAGCUGCGGGAAGGAAGGCACAAUGUAGCCAGCGACCUAUAAAAGGGACGGACAGGAGGACAGCUGUGCGGCCGGGAGACAGAGGCUUCUCCAGGCUGCUUUUCAAGACGUUGCCUCUGGACUCGAGCAACCAACAAAAGCCCAGACGCUGCUGAACCAAACACUAAUGUUCAUCUUCAGCUCUCUGAAGGAUGCUGGGGCAGCAGGAGAAUGGAGCGCGAGACCGUCUUUAUUCCCCGAGUCAGAGGUGAACACCAUGCACCAAACUCAUACGUGGCAACCUGGGGACCACCCAGCCCUGAAGAGCUGGCUUGCCACACUCUGGGAAGAUGGAGUAGUGUCUGGUGCUUAACGGAACACCAGAUGCUUUUGAUAGGCCAUCACAGCAAGAUCUGAGGAAGAGGUAAGACAGACUGAUUGACAUGCACAUAUGGAUGAUGCUGGGCUCAGACUUGAGUCCGCUCAGAUGCACUAGUUAUCUCCGAGCUUCGGGCUCUGUGUCUUUGUUCAAAUGGGGACUCUCAUUUUCGGGGUUCUAUAGAAAUGAAUGACAAAGGGAUAGUUCGCUUGUGCCCAUAAACAAAUGCCCCACAGGAGAGCUGCCUAUCCUCCCUUGUGGUUAUCACGAUGCACUCUGGGGUGGGCACCUGUAAUUCUCAUCUCAUAACCACAGAAACAACAAAUGGUACUCAAGAGCAGGCUUGUCCACCGUCCCCCUCAAAGGAGGAAUUUACUCUUCAAAGUCUACAGCCCCCUCCUCCAUCCUUCUCUGUCUCUUUCACCUCCCUACCCGUGUUUCAAAGACAUUCUAGAGCUUUCUGUCAGGCAUUGUGGGAAAACCAUGCCUCCUGGAGCUCAUCUACCCAGAUCCUUUUUGACCGAUCUGUGAACGUUGUCUGUUGGGAAGGUCUAGUAGCAAGAGGCUAGCUACUCAACGGGACAGCAUAAUUUUCUUAUUAAAACUGAGUUCUGCCA
rnacentral:sRNA from 1 species